UAAUUAGAAGGGAAGGGGAGAAUCUAUCACGUGCUUGCGAGGGAGGGCGCUGUUUUGCUGAAAUAGCACCUGUUCUAGUAGAGUUUAAAACAAGCUCAUAGUGAGAAAAUCAAGGUGCUUGCAACAUUGAGGAUUUUUUCUUCUCUGCAGAACUGGUUUCAGUAGCCAGUUUCCUAUGAGAUCAGUCUUGAACAAACAGAGGAAGGGAGGUUCUGAAUUAAAAAGCAUUUUUACAGCAUCCAGUAAUGCAAUGGCUGGACGACCACGAUGUGUCAGAUUAACUGGGUGGACACACUGGAUAUUAUCAACAAUUCUGCUGCUGUGGAGUUACCAGAUCAGUGGACAAGGACAAGCAAAUAGACCAUUCUUGAAUACAUAAUCAUUUCAAAUGUUUGCUGGGCUUUGGGAGAAAAGUCAACCACCUGUCAUGAUGGCCAUCCUUUAUUUUCAAGUUCCUGAAAUGGUUAUUGUUACAAGCAAGCUGUUGUACUUCUGGUGGUUUGAGGCUUGUUCUGAUUAAAUUUGUACAUCAUACAGACUGCAUAUAUUGGAGAUAUCUUGAAGAUUCCCA
rnacentral:lncRNA from 1 species